GAGCAAAAGCGUCGAUUAAUGGCGAAUAUUUGCAUUGAAGGUUGGCGAAAUCGAGCACCAAUGGCGAUUCUCCGUGCCUAUCAAAUUUAAUUAGUUUUGAUUAUGGCCUCGAACAAGUCGCUACAUC
rnacentral:snoRNA from 1 species